UUGGGUCUCGCUCGUUGCUCCGCCGGGAUCAACCAGACCUGGCGGAGGCUACUGCUAUUGGGAUUCGAUUAAGCCAUGCAAGUUGAGUGAAUUUAGAUUCAUGGCGUACGGCUCAGUAACACGUGGAUAACUUACCCUUAGGACUGGGAUAACUCUGGGAAACUGGGGAUAAUACCGGAUAUUAGGCUAUGUCUGCAAUGGUUUGCCUUUGAAAUGUUUUUUUUCGCCUAAGGAUAGAUCUGCGGCUGAUUAGGUCGUUGGUGGGGUAAUGGCCCACCAAGCCGAUGAUCGGUACGGGUUGUGAGAGCAAGGGCCCGGAGAUGGAACCUGAGACAAGGUUCCAGACCCUACGGGGUGCAGCAGGCGCGAAACCUCCGCAAUGUACAAAAGUGCGACACGGGGAUGAUCCCAGUGUUAUGCUUAGAAGGAUGACUCUUCUUCUUCGUGGAAGAAAAAUCUCUUUAAAAAUAAGAGCUGGGAAAGACCGGUGCACAGCCGCCGCGGGUACACCGGCAGCUCGAGUGGUAGCUGUUUUUAUUGGGCCUAAAGCGUUCGUAGCCGGUUUAAAANAUAUUGGGUGAAAGCUGUA
rnacentral:rRNA from 1 species